AGUGAACGCUGGCGGUAGGCCUAACACAUGCAAGUCGAACGGCAGCACAGUAAGAGCUUGCUCUUACGGGUGGCGAGUGGCGGACGGGUGAGGAAUACAUCGGCAUCUACUUUUUCGUGGGGGAUAGCGUAGGGAAACUUACGCUAAUACCGCAUACGACCUACGGGUGAAAGCAGGGGAUCUUCGGACCUUGCGCGAUUGAAUGAGCCGAUGUCGGAUUAGCUAGUUGGCGGGGUAAAGGCCCACCAAGGCGACGAUCCGUAGCUGGUCUGAGAGGAUGAUCAGCCACACUGGAACUGAGACACGGUCCAGACUCCUACGGGAGGCAGCAGUGGGGAAUAUUGGACAAUGGGCGCAAGCCUGAUCCAGCCAUACCGCGUGGGUGAAGAAGGCCUUCGGGUUGUAAAGCCCUUUUGUUGGGAAAGAAAAGCAGCAGGUUAAUACCCCGCUGUUCUGACGGUACCCAAAGAAUAAGCACCGGCUAACUUCGU
rnacentral:rRNA from 1 species